ACAGGAGGCCGGUCUGCCGCGUGCGUCCCAGUGGCGCAGGAGGAAAGUCCGGGCAACACAGGGCAAUCCGCUUCCUAACGGGAAGUCGUCCGCAAGGGUGAGCGAAGGCAGAAGAAAACAACCGCCGGCGCCACACGGCGUCGGUAAGGGUGAGAAGGUGGGGUAAGAGCCCACCGGCUGCAUGGCGACAUGCAGGCCGUGCCUGCCGGAUGUUGAAAGUUCAUGUAAACCGGCGACUGAGGGUGACCCGCCCGAGCAAUGCGCCGGAGGGUAGAACGAUAGAGCCUGUCGGCGACGGCAGGCCCGGAUAAAUGGCAGACACCGUCCAAUACGGGCGGUACAGAACCCGGCUUACAGGCCUCCUGUCCUU
rfam:Prevotella sp. CAG:755 genomic scaffold, scf127